GAUCUAGAUAAGGUGUACCACGCACGCAGCCAAAUCCCUAAUUCCCCUUCUCCUUCUCCUUCGAUUCCCCACACCCGCCGCCGCCGGGCUCUCCACCGCGCCUCCGCGCUCCACCACGGCGUUGGCCUCUCCCUCGCGCCCCCGCGUCUCUACUUCACGCUGUCGACCUCUCCACCGCGCCGGCCACCUCUCCACCUACUCCAGAGGAGCGUUGCCCUGCGGAAUGGCGUGACGGCCGUGGCGGCGCACGUCCCGGAGGUGCUGCUGCUCGUGGUGUCCAAUCCCGUCGACGACCUCACCUACCUGGCCUGAAAGCUUUCAAGCUUCCCGGCGAGCAGCGUCGGCGGCUCCGGCACCAACCUCCACUCCUCCAGGUUCCGGUUCCUUAUCAACCAGCUCCACGUCAACACCCAGAACGUGUAGGCUAUUUAACUUGUUUCUUGAUUAAGGUGUUGAUGGGCUGUAACUAUUUGCCACUCUGAAGAUAUAAAGUGUUAUUUCUUCAGGUAUCGUAUCACUGAGGCGCCCUCCCACGCACCUGCAAGCAUGAAUGAAGGACGUGUUUUGAGGUCUAGUGUAACACAAGAUCAUGAUCAUGUAGAUCACGCGCAUCAGCCUUCCAAAGAAGCAAACAUAAGGACUGGACUCACAAUGAACCAUGAAGCCGGCGAUCCGCGUCAACUGGAUGCUUUAGCUUUCAUUUUGUACAACCGAUGUCUCAUAUUUGCGUCUUUUUGCUGUCAUUUUGUAAACCUGAUGUAUGGUGUCUUGUCUUGGUGCUUAGAACAGUCUGAAGUGUAUGUAUGUGACAAUUAGUUAAUGGAAUAAAAAUGGUUUGGUGCACCUGA